rnacentral:pre_miRNA from 1 species
UGCUAUAGCUGUAAGUAUUAGGUUGGUACAAAAGUCACUGUGGAUUUUGUGACUACUUUUAAUGGCAAAACCCCAAUGACUUUUAUACCAACCUAUAAUUCUUUCUUAGGCUGUGGCA